UACCAGCACCCCGAGUGGUCGGGACGUUUUAUUGGGCCUAAAGCAUCCGUAGCCGGUUCUACAAGUCUUCCGUUAAAUCCAACUGCUUAACAGGUGGGCUGCGGAAGAUACUAUAGAGCUAGGAGGCGGGAGAGGCAAGCGGUACUCGAUGGGUAGGGGUAAAAUCCGUUGAUCCAUUGAAGGCCACCAGUGGCGAAGGCGGCUUGCCAGAACGCGCUCGACGGUGAGGGAUGAAAGCUGGGGGAGCAAACCGG
rnacentral:rRNA from 1 species